CACAAAAUUCCCCAAUUCCCUCGUUUGAGAAAGAAUUCACUCUAGUCAAGGCUGCAGACUUCCAAAUUUCUUCAUCACAUUUCUUCAUCGUUAUUUUGAAGUACAGUCACUUGAAGCUGAAAACACUCAGAUCUUUCCCCAUUACUUUACCUGUGAUGUUGUAAAACAUGGGGUGAUUAUUAGUUCAUAAUUAUAAAAAUUGCUUUAAUCACAAGUGUGGGGAAGGUAAACUAUGGAAACAUCUAUCCUUUUGUGAUAACUAACUCUCUUUGAACAACUUCUCACUUAGUGAACUGUCACAGCUGUAAAGGCCAAAGCAGAGCUUUGAGGUCUUGAAGUUAACAACUGUGAAUCAUAUAAAGACCAAAAAGGUGAGUAAAAGGAAACUCAAUACAAAGGCCCAUAAAAAAGGCCAAGGAAAAAAAAAUGUAGUGAGAACAAGACAAUUCCACAGAAUCAGGAGAAGACUGGUAACUUGGCAGAGACACGUUUGCAUAUUUUUAGGAGAAAUGGGAACCAAAUCCACAGGAUUGUCACAUCCCAUUGAGGACAUGUCCAGCCCCAGGAGCAGCCUCUCUAGCUACUUUCUCCUGCUGCUAGCAUUGUUUCCUUACAUCUGCUGGAUAUCCCUCGGAGUCUUUUGUUGCCUUCCCACCACGCUGAUGCUCAUGGCAAACAAGAGAGACAUUGUACAAUGCACGAUGUGUCUGCAUAAACAUUGCAAAUGAAAGGCUCCCGAAGAAAACCUGAAUCAUCUCUGUAAAGGUUGUGUUUAUGCUAGAAAGGAACACUGCUAUCCCCUGGGAGUGAAUGGGAUGGCAAGAAACAAAAAGUGGAAUAAAGUGUUCAAAUCACAGAAUUAUGGAAUCACAGAAUGAUUUCGGUUGGAAGGGACAUUUAAAGCCCACCCACUUCUACCCCUGCCAUGGGCAGGGACACCUUCCACUAUCCCAGCUGGGUCCAAGCCCUCUCAACUUGGCCUUGGACGCUUCCAAGGAUCCAGGGACAGCCACAGCUGCUUCUGGGCACCGUGUGCCAGAGCCUCCCCACCCUCACAGGGAAGAAUUUCUUCUUUAUAUCUGGCCUAAGUCAGUUUAAAGCCAUUAUCUCCUGUCCUGUCACUAUCUGCCCAGAUAAAAAGUACCUCUCUCCCUUAAAGCACUGGAAGGCUGCCAAUCCUGGUGCUUGAGCAAGGGAAGAAAGGACCCUGAGCAAUUCUGAUGAAAAAAGGAAGGCAAAAGGUUAAAGAUUUCAUACCCCACUUUAUGGAUUAUCCCCAUAUACUUCAGUUACCUGCUUGGCUGGAAUCAGGAAAUGCUCAGAAAAGCGGGCUCCAAAGCACACUUAGUGCUGGAAUAACAUCACAGCGCAGACCACCACCACUCUGAAUCCAUGGGAUUUCCAAGCGACACAGGAGCUGCCGAGAUGAAGCUCAGGAACCUCGCAGAUGAAACCCACCCUGCCCCUCGGCCCCCAGCAAUCCCAGGAACACAGAAAAAAGGCAAAGCAUUACAAGAAGUGUUUCGGGGCUGGGAGAGGAGCUGUGCACCGUGAUCCUUUGCCACAUGGUGGCACAGGCUGAUGUGAAAUCAACUCCAGCCAGGAAAGGUCUGGGCAGACCUGGGGUGGCAGGCUCAGUUUCCCUGGAUCUGUUCCUUCGGUGUCAGGCUCCAACUCAGCCCUGCAGCAUUAGAGAGUCAUUGUGCCCCCAGGAUCAUCACCCAACCCCAACUCACACUUCUGGGAAAGCAAGAAUUGUCCCUUUCCCCUUUUCACCCCUGGAGUUUUUCUCUCUAAGGAAAGCUCUUUUUCCUGGCUGUACCUGGGAGACUGCCCCCCAUGCUCAGCUUCACUGAGUUUUCUGCUGGUUCAUUCUCUGAAGUAAAACCCCCCUAUAAUUCAAAAUACAACUUUUCUGAGCAUUCCAGAAGCAUGGAUUUCUCUGUGCCAUGGUCCUGAGAGGUUGUCCCUGCUCAGCUUGUGACAGAAGCAGCCUUGCCCUCUCUGCAGCACUGCACAGGCACAAGUGUUUGUGCAGCUGCACCAUGAGCCCAACCAAGGACAGACUGUGGUGAAAACCUCAAAUUUUUCCUUAUUUCAGACAAGAAAGAGCAAAGACAGCAUUUAUUUUCAUGCCUUUGUGGUUGCAUCUUUACAACAAAACAAAGAGAGCUUUGCUUUCUUCUAUGAAUUUUACAAAUUCUUUGUGAAGCAUGCAAAAGAUUGUUUAUUCAUGUAAUUAUGUAAUGAUAAACACAAAGUUCGGGAACAGAUCACAUGGUGUGAUCAUAGCCAUGCUCAGCCUUCCAAGUUCAAGCCAGUCAAACCUUAAACACAUGAGAAUGAUAAUUGAUGGCAAAGGCACAAAUCUCUCUCUGUGGGACAAACACUUAAUGUGCUCCCUGCAGUUUAUUUAGAAAAUGAAACUUGUAAAUUUUAAUAACGUUUUCUCAUAGGCAGACACAGGGAAACCCUGUUCAAAUCUUUUGGAGGAAGACAGAAGGAGGAAUCACACAACCAUUUUUAGUUUUUUAGUUUAUAAAUCGAUAUUAUUGUAGGAAUAUGUUAUGCUGACAAAAAUCAAGACAUAUUUAAGACACUUCAGUACUGAUGGGAUUGACACAUUUUAAGAAGAAAGCCAUGUGUCUCCUAUGCUGACAACUCCUUCAGCUUAGCAGAAAGGAGUGACAGAAUUCUUUUCGGCAUUUCCACAAAGUUCCCAAACCUGUUUUUAUCUUUAAAAGAAGUCUAAAGUAUGUAAACCCUGCUAGUGUUUAAGUAAUUGAUAUACUAGGGACGCUAAUUCUAGGCGUUAGUGUACUAAUGUGGCUAAUGAGAUAGACAAAGAACACUGCUAGAAGUCUGUGAGUACCUUGAAAACCACAAUUUAAACUUCCUAAGUCUGUUAGCAGGCAAGCACUCCAAGAACACUCUGCUGACCCUUGGACAGAUGUUCCACCCCAGCUCACUGACGUGUGCAGAGGUUUAUGGCUCUCGCUCCUCCUUUAAUCAGCGACUGUAUAUUCAACUCCAGUAUUAAAAUAAACCAUUACGAACCUAUUCUGCUCUGUAUCCAAGACCUAAAUUGCCUUUCAUGCCUAUCAAAAAUCUUCAGCUAAGUCUCUCAAAACCCAGACCUGUGUCUGUGUGGCAUCUCCUUGAUAAAAUCCUUGCUGAGAUGUGGAUGGUGCAGGGGUUUGAAGCUGAAACCUUCGGGGUGUCAGUGCGACCGCACCUCCACCUGUAGGCACCUGGAAAACACGGUCAUUUGGACAUUUUCAAUUAAAUUCCCGACCUCUAACCAUUAAAACCCAACGGCCAACGAUUAAACAUUAAACUGUGUCAGUAAAACGGCACAGUUUAAUAUAAAUAUUCACACAGACACACCCAAACACGCACACUUGCCCCAGACCCUCACCUGCCGCUCUCUUUUCCCGAUCUCGCUCGCUCCCGCCUUCCCCGAAUCCGCUCCCGCUGCUCCCCCGCACCCCUCUCGGCUGCCCCUCCCCGCCUUUCCCGAUCCCGCAUGCGCGUUCCCCCGCAUCCCGCCUUUCCCAAUCCCGCUGCUCCUCGACCCCGCUGUUUCCCAAUCCCGACCCCGCUGAUCCUGACCUCGCUAUUUCCCGAGCCCGCUAUU
ensembl:lncRNA